GUAACUACUUUUGGUUGGGAGGGAGAAUGGAGGAAAUAUGACUUCCCUUUUUCCUCUCCAUUUUCCAUUUUCCUCUUUUUCUUUCUUAAAAACCACCCAAAUGAAAAUGGAAAUUCUCUCCCAAAUUCUUUGGGAUUGGCUUGUAUUUGUUCAGUGCCUAAUUCUUCCUUCAUCAAUCAUCCACCUUGUGCAUCUAUCAUGCUCAUAAGUGCAAAAGUCAAUAUUGAUCAUAGAACGAAAGGUCCUCUAUCAUGCUUAUGAGCGCAAGGUACAAUCUUCUUGAUCAUAAUAUUUGAAAAAUGCGCAUAACAGAACUUAUAUACCACACACACAAGUUAUAUUCACAUUAUAUAUUUGGUCAUUCCUGUGAAUCAAUCUCUAUUUCCCUUUUCAUACCAAGAAAUUAUGUGUUUGCUUUAUUAGGUAUUACACAUCCAGCUAGAAUUGGAAGUAAUUGGGUAUUGCUUAGCGCAGUACUUUUUGAUGCUUUGAUUCCGAUGUUGUAACUAUGCUGGUUUUGUCGGUUAUACAGAUUUUUUCCAGAAGCUGUGACGAAUUCUCCACCAAAAGAAAUGGCGAAAUUUGAUAAAAUGAUAGUGAAGGUAUGUCAGCCAACAGUUUCCAUCUUUGUACUCUAUAUGAGAAUAUAAAUUAUGUAAUUGUUUCUAUUUGCAUGUCAAAAUUGCCCAUGCUAUAAGUGCAAUUUGUUUGCUGCAAACAAUUUAACUAGUCAACUAAGUCAAGCCAGAUUGCCUUGGCCUAAUUACCUGCAAUUUUAUUGUUAAUAUGAUAAAUCAAUACCAACCAUAGAAAACUUCUAGUAAAACUAAAUUACAUUGAAGGGCAAAACCCAGAUUAUUAUUAGUCAAGGGCUCCAAAUAAAUAUGACCGGGAAAGAAAAUUAAGGGUUAGGUGGGAGAACCCAUUACUAAUAGAUAAAAACUGGAUAAGGUUGUUGAAAAAUUAUUGGUGGAUAACACAUUCCAGGAAACAUUUUGACCGAAUGCUAAGAAAUCAAUCAUCAAAUGGGUAUUGUUCAUACCUAAUUGUACAAUCAUAUAGAACAGAUCGAGCCCCAAUCCGGCUGUCACAAGUACCGAACAUGGCUGUUUUCGCAGCAGCAAGACAGGUGCUACAAUCUGAAUUUGUAAGAUUUUUGUUACAGGCAGCAUGACCAUAAGCAAAAGCAUUUGGGUAAGGAGAGAUGUUGUAAUAGUCAUGACCUUGGCGCGCAGGUGUAGCAGAUUCUAAAUCUGAAAGGACAUAGGCUAGACUAAUGGCGAAGGGGUCACUUUUCGCAUAAACUCCAGAAUUACACAGCACACUCAUCACUUUAGUGUUUGGAUCACUUCUCACAACACUGCAUAGCCCAAAUAAUCCAAUUAGCAAUCCAGUCACAUAUACUUUCGCAUAACCCAUUUUCCUCUGUUAUCUUCUCUUUCUUGUUGGCUAUUUCCUCUCUUAUGAGAUACGACUUUUGAUGUCUAUGGGUUUUUUCACCUGUGUUUGACAAUGUCAACCAAGUUUUGUCCUUCUUGCUUGUAUUUUUGUUUAUUGAAUAUUCCUAUGCUACUGCUUCUCUUGAUUAUUUUUCCUCUGUUUUUGAUGAAUAUGGGCCAAUUCAUUGUCAUUGAGUAAAAUGUUUCGUUAUCUUGUUUAGAAUAUAUGUAUGAAUUUGCAGGCUUUUAUAGAGGGCUUCCAAGUAACUAAGAAAGUCUGUUUUUUUAAUAAUUUAGAUGUUUACGCUCUGUUUCUGAGUUUUAAAAUGGACAGAAAAGAAAAGAAAUGAACGGAAAAUUUAAGUUUUCUUUCUAAUUUUUAUGUUUCUGAGAUUUUUAAUAAACAGAAUAUAAAAGAAAUGAAUAAAAAACUUGGCCACUUUUUCUGCCAAAGUUUUCCGUCCAAAAUUGGCCUGAUUUGGACGGAAAAGAAAUUGGAAUAAGUAAUAUUUUUAUAAUUUCCAUAUUAUCCUCGACUUUUAAUAUAAUAAAUUUUAAAUUACAACUCAUGUCCUCAAUUUUAAAUUUUCUAUUCUUUUCUAUUAAAAACUCAGAAACAACACAAAGGAAAACUUCAAGUUUUCUAUUCUUUUCUUUUCUGUUCUAAUUUAAGUUUUCUAUUCUUUUCUUUUUUGUUCAAAACUCAGAAACAGAGUGUUAGGGAUCCUGGUUAUUAGGAAUAAUUUUUACGGGUAGAUCUUAACCAGUAGUGUAUGAAUUUCAUAUUGGUUUUCUAGUAUAUUAGGAUAUUCUGUUCUUGAGUGAGGUUAAUGACAUUAGCAAGCCUGUGUAGACUUAGCUUAUAGUCUUAGUUCCUCCUUCAAACUUCAAUAGAGGGAUUUUGUCAACAAGCCCCAUUCUUAUCUUUCUUCUCUUUUUUUUUUUUGUAAAAAGUAAAAACUUGUGUCACAAAAGAUGAUGACUCCUUAUUUCCAAUCUGACGCAGUUAGAAUAUAUCUGACUGGAAGGAAUAAAUUUGUAUCACAAAAACAUCAAACUUAUAGCCAAUCUAACUGCUUUGUAUAUCGAAAAAGCACCGUGUACAUGAAGGUAGCACAUACACUUAAUGUGCUGAUAUACCUUAAUAAGCAAAGGAUUUAUUAUUGCUAUAAAUGCAUAUUCAGGAGUGAGCUCACUUUUAUAAGUUCCUUAAAUAUAUAUUUAUGUGGUCUCAGAUGAUGUAUUGUCCCGUGUAUAGAUCUAGUAAUUUUUUCCGUCUGUUUUAGCUGGGGGAGAUGUGAGGAGAUAUAAUUUCUCCUGUGAACAUCAUUUUCUUUUAUACAUAUAUACACACUUAUAGUGCGAAAAUUGGCUGUAAUGGUUAUAUACCGAAGUAACAGCACCCAUUGCUCUGCUAUUUACUUUGGAAAUCAGCCAUCUCUCCUAGUUCUUCCACCUCUUUUGCUAAUACUUCCACCUUUUCCAUCAUCUCCAUCAAUAAAAACACAAAGCUUGCAAUGGCAAUACCUUCACCAUUCUGUGCUUCUUCUAGCUUUGGAGAUUUAACCAGGCUCAGCUCUAUUUUCAUGGACUGCAGCUUUGGUGCUAUCAAGAUCUUAGCAUGACACUUCUUCAUUUUAGUUAUACUUUCUCCAAGCCCUCUCAGAAUCUGCAGAAGUUUCGAUCCAACAAUUUCGCAUGGCUCUUUGAUUUCUUGUCUUGGUUUUGAUGAUGGCUGAUCACACAUUCGAGAUUAAUUAUUAACUUAUUAAGAAAAUAAUAAUGAUUUAACCAUUUAUUUUAUGAAUGAUGUAAAAGAUAUUUAUAAAUUAAAUCAAUUAUCAUUGGCAAUGUUCCAUCACUUUAAAGAUAACAGAGAUGAUUCCAAACCUGCUUUGGUGAUUGAACACACCCUUUAAGGGACAGAAUGGUUCCAGCAAGCUCUCUAAGAACUUCUCCUAUCCGUAGAUAUUUCUCCCAAGGAUAGUUCAACCCAAAUUUUCCAUGCCACGGUUCCCACUUUGCAAAAUUUGCCUGAAUUGCAUAACAUAGGAUCCCUAAGUUACACAUGUUUCCAAACUACUGAAAUUAGGUAAAUAUGUUCCAGGUAAUGGAGCGACAUAUUUUACCGCUAAAGAUUUCAUUUAUAUAUUUAUGGUGUUUAUAGGAAUUUUAAGCUUGUGUAAUCCAUCUUUGUCCAGUGAAAUGAAUUUCUAAGAAUAAAUAAUGUACCAGGGACUCUUCAGUUGACUUUGUGUGUAACACUGACUUGCAACUGUUGACAUUAGCACUUGGCUGGUUUUCAUUUUCUCCGACUAUACUGAAGUAUUCGUCCAAGCAUCCUGCUCAUACAUUACAGAAGCUAUCUUAAAUUACUUUCUUGCUGCUUGAGGGAUAGUAAAUGAGCUAACAUAGAA
rnacentral:lncRNA from 1 species